rnacentral:rRNA from 1 species
CCUACGGGAGGCAGCAGUGGGGAAUAUUGCGCAAUGGGCGAAAGCCUGACGCAGCGACGCCGCGUGAGGGAUGAAGGUCCUCGGAUCGUAAACCUCCGUUAGCAGGGAAGAACGGUCACUGUGCUAAUCAGCAGUGAAUUGACGGUACCUGCAAAGGAAGCACCGGCUAACUCCGUGCCAGCAGCCGCGGUAAUACGGAGGGUGCGAGCGUUAAUCGGAAUUACUGGGCGUAAAGCGCUCGUAGGCGGUAUGUCAAGGCAAGGGUGAAAUCCCCGGGCUCAACGUGGGAACUGCCUUUGAAACUGGCAAACUGGAGUGUGUGAGAGGAUGGCGGAAUUCCAGGUGUAGGAGUGAAAUGCGUAGAUAUCAGGAGGAACAUCAGUGGCGAAGGCGACUAACUGGCACAUAACUGACGCUGAGGAGCGAAAGCGUGGGUAGCAAACAGGAUUAGAUACCCCUGUAGUC